GAUGAACGCUGGCGGCGUGCCUAAUACAUGCCAGUCGAGCGAACAGACGAGGAGCUUGCUCCUCUGACUUUAGCGGCGGACGGGUGAGUAACACGUGGAUAACCUACCUAUAAGACUGGGAUAACUUCGGGAAACCGGAGCUAAUACCGGAUAAUAUAUUGAACCGCAUGGUUCAAUAGUGAAAGACGGUUUUGCUGUCACUUAUAGAUGGAUCCGCGCCGCAUUAGCUAGUUGGUAAGGUAACGGCUUACCAAGGCAACGAUGCGUAGCCGACCUGAGAGGGUGAUCGGCCACACUGGAACUGAGACACGGUCCAGACUCCUACGGGAGGCAGCAGUAGGGAAUCUUCCGCAAUGGGCGAAAGCCUGACGGAGCAACGCCGCGUGAGUGAUGAAGGUCUUCGGAUCGUAAAACUCUGUUAUUAGGGAAGAACAAAUGUGUAAGUAACUAUGCACGUCUUGACGGUACCUAAUCAGAAAGCCACGGCCAACUACGUG
rnacentral:rRNA from 1 species